AAGAAUUUGAAAGCCAAACGCCGCGGCGUACAUCCGUUUCGACCUAGACGACACCGGCCACCACCUGGCUUCUGAUAAUGGUUCCGUGACUGUUCGCAGACGUAGUUGGGUGGUAAAUAUCGUGACUCGUACGGAGGAUGCGGAAGAGGUGGUGGUCGCGGCAUCGCGAACAAACGCAACCUCCAAGAUUGGCCAUUCGCAGCAGUGAGACCAGCAUCUGGCUGCUUCAUUCAUGAAGUCGUUCAAUGACCCACCACAACCGCCACCGCCCUCGCAACAGAAUGGCCACAUCGGCGUCGGAGGUCGUGAACUGGACGCCAAGACCAAGACCAAGUUUCGUCGCGAGUAAGCGCCGGGGACAAUUCGUCGUCCUCCUAAGAACUUCCACAUUAAUCUGCCGCAGAGGUUCCAGAAGCGUAAGGCAGAGCGAAAACCUUCCGGAACAAUCUGAAGGGAAGUCAACCGAAAGCCGGUGGUAGCGGAACCAAUGUUGCGAGAUUUUAGGGUAAACAAUUAUCCUUUACAUUUCUCAACCCGAACUAACUUUUCCUAAUUCCAGGUCAAAUAAUUUUGCACCACCCCAAAAAGUGGGUUUUAUGAUGGAGAUGGAUCGACCAGGACGUCGACCGGAGAUGACAUAUGGCACAUCGCCGGAAUCGACCUCGCUUGACGUCAACAAGCUGAGGAACCAUACUUCCGUUACGCUCAAAUCGGCACCGGCCGCCAUCAGGGGCAAAGCAUCGUUUACGAUUCAAGCCUUGAGAACAUGGCCAAGGUCGGGGUCGGUGACCUGAGCUGAUCAAAUCGAGACCAGAGUCAAUAACAAGACGAUUCCGAGAGGCCAUCAACGGAAUCUGGCGAUGCAGGUUGUAAGCCGAUUGCGGCCAUGAAGACGAUAGCUGGCAGGAUCUGUUGUUCCAGAACAUAGAAGGUUUUUUUUUGUGAGAAAAAUUCCAAAUUAAUUUAAAAAAAAACUUAUCAUAACUCCAUACUUUUACUCUCUCCCUAUAGAUUUGCAGCGUCUCUAUCAGUGGAAUCGGCACCACUCGGGACUCCUCCGACGAUAGCGUGGUCAACACUACGAGGAACGUUCUGACACCGAGAUCAAGAAGGAAGCUUGAAAGAAUCCUCAGCGACCGGAAGACCAUAAGCUGACACUUAACAAAACAAGCAGCAGCAGCAAGCUCCGUUCGUCAACCCGCCAAGGAUUGUCGUUCAGCGGCCCACCAUCGACCUGUACGCCGAGGUCAAGGAACGUCUCAUGUUGCGUCGCGAGAAGGACCUGUGAAGGGAGAUGGAACGCAAGCAGGCCGCGGCCGGGAAUCUGCAGGAGCUGGAGCAGAAGCUGAAGAGCAAGAGGGUGAAGACGGAGGACAGGCGUCACAGGAAGUGCGCCAGGUUAAACCCACGACUGCAGCUGCCACAGGUGACCUGGGCCUCCUGGGAAUAUCGAACGCCGCCGCUCAAUUCCGUUGUUUUUCCGCCACCGCCACCAAGAAGCCCCUCUAAAAUGGUCAAUCCAGUGAAGGUGAAUUUAGCACUGACCAACAAAAUCAAAUGUCAAUCGCUGAAUCGGGUGAUACACUUGGGGACAAAGUCGGAAAACAAGGACCAGGUCCUGCUUCCCGGUUGAUCAACGUUAGCCAGAACUGUCGUUAGGAGGACUACAGGGCGGUCAGUUUACCUCCUUGGACGGAUUUUAAUUCCCGGGAGUUUAUCAUUCAGUUCCAGAAUCAAACAACGGCCUCGCAGCUAGAACACCUUGGAGGUCAACCAAUGCCCUGUAAGGACAGCUCAAAAAAAACUGCUUGAUCCCAGCAUGCUUCACUACGAGGGGAGCAAUGGGGCCACGACCGAGAACCGAGGGGUCCGCAGCGCUGCCCACCGGACAGAAAAGAACUGGCCUCGCGAGCAGCAAAAAGCAUGUCACGUUCCGUCCCAUCCCGGCUAAGCGUAGGAACCGGUGAGCAGUCUACAACCUCAGCUCCGAUGGAAGGUCAUGUGCCCUCGGAACGAAAGAUCAACCGGAACCGGUUCACGUUCCCGGUCAAUUCUUUUGGUUCUUGCAAUCCGGAACUGCCACGCGCAACACGCAGCACUGAACAAGCUCGCGGUACGGUCGUCAUAGCUCUGGAUAAGAUUCGCCGGACGGCGGUCAACCUGUAAAUGCUCUCGAAACAAUGCUGCAUGGAACAGGUUGUUGGACGGUCGCCAAACUGCAAGUUCCCUCGGAAUUACACUGGACGGAACAGGCUCGCCGGACGGUCACCGCCCUGCAAGUGCGCUCGGCACGAUGGACUAAAACCUGCACGGACGCGCCAAGUCAAGAUCUAACGAAUCCGGUCCACAAUCCUGGCCUAUUGUUUGACUAAUUUCGGUUCACGCAAUCCGGAAUUGCCAAGUGAAACGGCAAUAGACCUCGAGGUUCUGUCGGAAAGAGGCAGCACGGAACAGGACUGCCGGGCGGUUGCCAACCUACAAGUGCUUUCGGAACAACGCUGGACGGACAUGGUCCCUGGAAAUUCGUUCAGAAAGACGCAACAUGGAACAGACACGACGCCCUGCAAGUUUCCCUCGGAACGUCGCUCAUGGACAGGCUCGGCGGACGGUCGCCGCCCUGCAGGUGCCCUCGGAAUCACGGAUGAAAUGCUGCACGAACGCGUCCAGGUCUAAAUCAACCGGAGCCGGUCCUCACGUGCCUGGAGCGUUCCCUUGAAGACUGUCCAACCGGUGAAUUGAUGUGCAUUAGAUUAAAUUAACUUAUAGCUUACAAUUUUAUGAAAAUAAACAAAUCGAAACGCGAAAAUUGCAGUUUUAAUAUCA